UAAAAACUCCGGUGGUAUGAGAUGGACCCGCGUCUGAUUAGGUAGUUGGUGGGGUAACGGCCUACCAAGCCGACGAUCAGUAGCCGACCUGAGAGGGUGACCGGCCACAUUGGGACUGAGACACGGCCCAGACUCCUACGGGAGGCAGCAGUGGGGAAUAUUGCACAAUGGAGGAAACUCUGAUGCAGCGACGCCGCGUGAAGGAUGAAGUAUUUCGGUAUGUAAACUUCUAUCAGCAGGGAAGAAAAUGACGGUACCUGACUAAGAAGCCCCGGCUAACUACGUGCCAGCAGCCGCGGUAAUACGUAGGGGGCAAGCGUUAUCCGGAUUUACUGGGUGUAAAGGGAGCGUAGACGGCACGGCAAGCCAGAUGUGAAAGCCCGGGGCUCAACCCCGGGACUGCAUUUGGAACUGCUGAGCUAGAGUGUCGGAGAGGCAAGUGGAAUUCCUAGUGUAGCGGUGAAAUGCGUAGAUAUUAGGAGGAACACCAGUGGCGAAGGCGGCUUGCUGGACGAUGACUGACGUUGAGGCUCGAAAGCGUGGGGAGCAAACAGGAUUAGAUACCCAGGUAGUCCACGCCGUAAACGAUGA
rnacentral:rRNA from 1 species